UACGUAGGGUGCGAGCGUUGUCCGGAAUUAUUGGGCGUAAAGAGCUCGUAGGCGGUUUGUCGCGUCUGCUGUGAAAACCUAAGGCUCAACCUUGGGCUUGCAGUGGGUACGGGCAGACUAGAGUGCGGUAGGGGUGACUGGAAUUCCUGGUGUAGCGGUGGAAUGCGCAGAUAUCAGGAGGAACACCGAUGGCGAAGGCAGGUCACUGGGCCGCAACUGACGCUGAGGAGCGGAAAGCAUGGGGGAGCGAACAGG
rnacentral:rRNA from 1 species